GGGCUGAGAAGGAAGCUGAAGAGAUGGAGUGGAGGUCAGAUUUCUGAGCCUCCUGGAGGCUGCACCUUCAGAUGAUCAGAUAUGUGGCAGGAGUGGGAAAGGGACACAGAAUGAAGGGGGAUCCGUUUCUCUAAUCCAGGAACUGACUUCUUCCUCCUCAUGGUCCACUUGAAAUUCCAGGAAAAGGAACAGAUGUGCAAGGAAUCGCAGCCUGGAGAAACAUAGUGUAUUUGGAGACUUGCAUGUAAAUGGAUAAGUAGGUGUAGGAGGAGAAGCUGGGACACAUUUUCCUAAAUUUUAUUCCACAAAACACUAGUUCUGUGAGACGCUCUAUGGAAAUUGGUCCCGUGAUCAGUACAUUUGGGGCAUGCUGCAUGUUGUAUUCCCUGUUGUCUUAUAUUGGAUUUCCUGGAGAUAGACUCUGAGGUGGAGACUUAUGUGCAGAAGGUCUCUUGGCGAAUGCUCCAGGGAGGCGUGCGUGUAAGGAAGUGAGACAGACCCACCUCAGGCCCCUGGGACUUCCACUGGCCAGACGCCCUGU
rnacentral:lncRNA from 1 species